rnacentral:ncRNA from 1 species
ACAUGACUCUGGAGAGACUCAUAUGAGCACCGAAGGGGAAAGUUACUACAGUAAUAGUAAUGAAACUCUCAGGUAAAAGAACAGAGAUAUA